UAGUAUUAUAUAUUCAUUUAACCAUUAUUAUUUUUGCAGAGGUUUGCAGGUUAACGUUACGUUGUUUGGAGAUAUUGCAUACCAGUUAAUUUCUUAUCUUGAAGCUCAUAAAGAAGUUGGUCGUGUGAUUGUCCUUUUGCAAUUUGCAAGAAUUAAUGUCUAUAACGGCAGGUAGUCCUGCAAAUGCUGAUGAUACAUAAAUCGCAUCUCAUGAAGUAUCUCAAGAAACAAAGACCUUAAAGGAUGCGAUAUCGCAAACAGGUGAUAAUUUGACCCCAACAUUGCCUGACAAAUUUGAAGCUACAAGUCCGUUCAAGUAUAAUUCCCCAACAAUAGUAAAAAACGAAAUGUUGGAGAUACCAUUGAUGUUGAUGAUUAUGAUAAUGUGAAUUCGUCCACCAAGGUCCCUCGAUUGAAUUCCAAAGUUGAUGCCAACACAGGUCUAUUAAUACCAAAGCUUGAAAAGUAAUUUCAGAUUGUCUUUUUUUAAUCAACAAUGUUCUUGAAUUUGGAUUUUUUUUGGAUUCUCUUUCACAGUAUUGCUCUUUGUGGUGUCCACUGUUCAAACAUUGAUACUUCUUGCUUUAUUU